UGAGGAAUAUUGGUCAAUGGGCGCGAGCCUGAACCAGCCAAGUCGCGUGAGGGAGGACGGCCCUACGGGUUGUACACCUCUUUUGCCGGGGAGCAACGGGCGUCACGUGUGGCGCAACUGAGAGUACCCGGAGAAAAAGCAUCGGCUAACUCCGUGCCAGCAGCCGCGGUAAUACGGAGGAUGCGAGCGUUAUCCGGAUUUAUUGGGUUUAAAGGGUGCGUAGGCGGAUCGUUAAGUCAGUGGUCAAAUUGAGGGGCUCAACCCCUUCCCGCCAUUGAAACUGGCGUUCUUGAGUGGAAGAGAAGUAUGCGGAAUGCGUGGUGUAGCGGUGAAAUGCAUAGAUAUCACGCAGAACCCCGAUUGCGAAGGCAGCAUGCCGGCUUCCGACUGACGCUGAAGCACGAAAGCGUGGGGAUCGAACAGG
rnacentral:rRNA from 1 species